UUGGCUGUGUCUGAUGCUCCAGAUUCUUCGCCUGCCCCGUCCGCUGCUCCUUUGAUGGACAAACCAUCAACCAUGUGCAACCAGCAGCGGACUCCGGCGGAUGGAAUGGGCAAGAAGAAGGCCUGACCUAGAGACAGGUGAAUUCGUAUCCCAACGGACCGAGGAUUUACAACAAUUGGUAUUGGAC